rnacentral:rRNA from 1 species
GAUGAACGCUGGCGGCGUGCCUAAUACAUGCAAGUCGAGCGAACAGACGAGGAGCUUGCUCCUCUGACGUUAGCGGCGGACGGGUGAGUAACACGUGGAUAACCUACCUAUAAGACUGGGAUAACUUCGGGAAACCGGAGCUAAUACCGGAUAAUAUAUUGAACCGCAUGGUUCAAUAGUGAAAGACGGUUUUGCUGUCACUUAUAGAUGGAUCCGCGCCGCAUUAGCUAGUUGGUAAGGUAACGGCUUACCAAGGCAACGAUGCGUAGCCGACCUGAGAGGGGGAUCGGCCACACUGGAACUGAGACACGGUCCAGACUCCUACGGGAGGCAGCAGUAGGGAAUCUUCCGAAAUGGGCGAAAGCCUGACGGAGCAACGCCGCGUGAGUGAUGAAGGUCUUCGGAUCGUAAAACUCUGUUAUUAGGGAAGAACAAAUGGGUAAGUAACUAUGCACGUCUUGACGGUACCUAAUCAGAAAGCCACGGCUAACUACGU